CAGUCGCCACGGGAAUACGAAGGGGGCUAGCGUUGCUCGGAAUUACUGGGCGUAAAGGGAGCGUAGGCGGAUGUUUAAGUCAGAGGUGAAAGCCCAGGGCUCAACCUUGGAACUGCCUUUGAUACUGGACAUCUUGAGUGUGGGAGAGGUAAGCGGAACUCCGAGUGUAGAGGUGAAAUUCGUAGAUAUUCGGAAGAACACCAGUGGCGAAGGCGGCUUACUGGCCCAUUACUGACGCUGAGGCUCGAAAGCGUGGGGAGCAAACAGGAUUAGAUACCCCGGUAGUCCCUGUCUCUUAUAC
rnacentral:rRNA from 1 species